rnacentral:lncRNA from 12 species
UUCUCCUUCUCCAGCUUCUGCUUGAUCCGCUGGAGGUUGUCGAUCUGUUCUCCGAGUUCAUCUCAAUCUGUCUUAGCUUUAGUCAGAGUGUUGACUUUGUCCUCCUCUGCCUGAAGGUCAUCAAGAGUCUGCUGGUGUGCCUCUUGGAGGGCUUUCUUCUCUUUGGUCAGCUUGGCAAUGCUCUCAUCUUGAGAGGCCAUCUCCUCUGUCAGGUUUUUCACCUAAAUGGAAACAUUAAUUACUGGUUUCAUAAUCAAGAGUCUGAAUCACAAUCUGCAGUGUAUAUGAAGAGUUUGGUUCCAAAACGCUAUAAAUCCAUUUUGAUUAAUUUGAGUAAAAAUGUGUUUUCUUUACCAAGAAAGUGGCAAGAUGAGAACCUAUAUUUUCUGUUUCAGACUUUCAUAUAGCAUCUUUAGGUUAUAAUAACAUUAAAAAUUCUAAUCCAGAUUUUGAUUUUCAAAUAUUUAUUAUAAAAUGUUGUUAUUGUUUUUUAAAUGUAAUAAAUCCAUUGAAUCAAAUGGGUUAUUGGGUUAUUGAAAGUUAUUUACACAACAUAGUAAGUUGAUCCAUAUAUGACAGCCUCUGAAUUUUGGUCAGUACUAAUCUUAUAUACAGGCACUGGACUAAAAAUACAUUCACCGGUCAUCGCUCUCAAAAUGAAUUCAACGGGUCAUCUUGUUUGCUAUAAAUUAAUUAUAACAAUAAAAUAAAAUUUCUUCAUGAACAAGAAUAUGAUCAGCAAUAUCACAUUAGACCACAGAAAUUCCAAAAUAACAUUUCCCUUACAUUCAGCUUCCGAAAGUGCAUUUGUCUUUGCUGUGUUACAUUCAUUUAGUUGACUAGUGCUAUACGCUGUAUUAACAAAAACAUAAAUGGCAUUAAUAAAAACACUUACACUGACAAGCUAGGCAAUAUUGCGUUCAUAAUCGAAUGAGAUUCAUCUAAUGAACUCAAUAUUUU